GCCCGUGUUAAACUAUGUUAAACCCAUCACUGUCCUGUGACUCACUUAGGCCCGUGUUAAACUAUGUUAAACCCAUCACUGUCCUGUGACUCACUUAGGCCCGUGUUAAACUAUGUUAAACCCAUCACUGUCCUGUGACUCACUUAGGCCCGUGUUAAACUAUGUUAAACCCAUCACUGUCCUGUGACUCACUUAGGCCCGUGUUAAACUAUGUUAAACCCAUCUUUGUGCUGCAACUGUCAUAAGCGUACCUAUGUUAAACCCAUUGGCAACAGAUCGGGUGGUCAGACUCGCUGACUUACUUGAUACAUGUCAUUGCAUCCUAAUUACGUAGAUUGAUGCUCAUGCUGUUGACCACUGGAUUGUCUGGUCGAGACUCGAUUAUUUACAGACUGACCCGAUAUAGCUGGAAUAUUGAUAAGAGCGGCGUAAAACUAAACGCACUCACUCACUAAGCCUAUGUUAAACUAUAUGGAAGUUAUGCCAUCUGUAGCGCAACGACUGUCUAAAGCCUGUGUCAAACUAUAUGGUAGCUAUUUUAUGUGUGUUCAACUUCGGUAUCAUAGUGCUACAAUUGCUUUGUGUAACAAGGUACAGUGUUAUAGUACAGUAUGUGUAACAAGGUACAGUGUUAUAGUACAGUAUGUGUAACAAGGUACAGUGUUAUAGUACAGUAUGUGUAACAAGGUACAGUGUUAUAGUACAGUAUGUGUAACAAGGUACAGUGUUAUAGUACAGUAUGUGUAACAAGGUACAGUGUUAUAGUACAGUAUGUGUAACAAGGUACAGUGUUAUAGUACAGUAUGUGUAACAAGGUACAGUGUUAUAGUACAGUAAGUGUAACAAGGUACAGUGUUAUAGUACAGUAUGUGUAACAAGGUACAGUGUUAUAGUACAGUAAGUAAUCUAAGCAGACACUUCCACAUCACAGAUUGUGUAGUCUGAAUACGUCAUCUCCUCGAGUGACAUACAUCGUCAUAUCAUCUGCCCUCCAUAGUGUGUGUAAGCUGCGGAGCAGUUGGCAAGAUGUUUUGUGAAGAAAUCUUAAUCAAGAUUUU